rnacentral:rRNA from 1 species
UACGGAGGGUGCGAGCGUUAAUCGGAAUUACUGGGCGUAAAGGGCGCGUAGGCGGUUCGGUAAGUCGGGUGUGAAAGCCCUGGGCUUAACCUGGGAAUGGCACUCGGGACUGUCGGGCUAGAGUAUGGUAGAGGGAGGCGGAAUUUCCGGUGUAGCGGUGAAAUGCGUAGAUAUCGGAAGGAACACCAGUGGCGAAGGCGGCCUCCUGGACCAAGACUGACGCUGAGGUGCGAAAGCGUGGGGAGCGAACAGGAUUAGAUACCCCCGUAGUCC